rnacentral:rRNA from 1 species
UACACGAGCGGCGAACGGGUGAGUAACACGUGGGUGAUCUGCCCUGCACUUCGGGAUAAGCCUGGGAAACUGGGUCUAAUACCGGAUAUGACCUCCUAUCGCAUGGUGGGUGGUGGAAAGAUUUAUCGGUGCAGGAUGGGCCCGCGGCCUAUCAGCUUGUUGGUGGGGUAAUGGCCUACCAAGGCGACGACGGGUAGCCGACCUGAGAGGGUGACCGGCCACACUGGGACUGAGACACGGCCCAGACUCCUACGGGAGGCAGCAGUGGGGAAUAUUGCACAAUGGGCGAAAGCCUGAUGCAGCGACGCCGCGUGAGGGAUGACGGCCUUCGGGUUGUAAACCUCUUUCAGCAGGGACGAAGCGCAAGUGACGGUACCUGCAGAAGAAGCACCGGCUAACUACGUGCCAGCAGCCGCGGUAAUACGUAGGGUGCAAGCGUUGUCCGGAAUUACUGGGCGUAAAGAGUUCGUAGGCGGUUUGUCGCGUCGUUUGUGAAAACCAGCAGCUCAACUGCUGGCUUGCAGGCGAUACGGGCAGACUUGAGUACUGCAGGGGAGACUGGAAUUCCUGGUGUAGCGGUGAAAUGCGCAGAUAUCAGGAGGAACACCGGUGGCGAAGGCGGGUCUCUGGGCAGUAACUGACGCUGAGGAA